CAGCAGCCGCGGGAAUACGUAGGGUGCGAGCGUUAAUCGGAAUUACUGGGCGUAAAGCGUGCGCAGGCGGUGAUGUAAGACCGAUGUGAAAUCCCCGGGCUUAACCUGGGAACUGCAUUGGUGACUGCAUUGCUAGAGUAUGGCAGAGGGGGGUGGAAUUCCACGUGUAGCAGUGAAAUGCGUAGAGAUGUGGAGGAACACCGAUGGCGAAGGCAGCCCCCUGGGCCAAUACUGACGCUCAUGCACGAAAGCGUGGGGAGCAAACAGGAUUAGAUACCCCUGUAGUCCCUGUCUCUUAUAC
rnacentral:rRNA from 1 species